GCAGAGAGCUGGACUAGAUGGACUCUGGUCUGAUCCAGCUGGCUUGUUCUUAUGUUCGCCACCACUGUUCUAACCCCUGGUUUAGACCAUCUGAACCAAGUCAAGGUGUAAGUUAUUCCGUGUUUACAAGUAAUACUUCUUUCCUGCUGAUGAGAAACUAGCAUUGAAAGCAAGUUCCAACCAGCUUGUCCUCUGUUGGGCUUUGGAGAUGGUCAAAGACAUGAACGGCUGUUUUCUGUACAUUUGCAUAGUUUUAUUAAGCAAAAAAAUUAUGUUACCCAUGGAAUAUUCUGAGUUAACUGUUGCGGAUCGAGUGGGUUCCCCCUCUUCUGUCUUCUUUUCACGAUAUCUUAUUGAAUCACUUUAAACAGGUUAUGUUAUGCUGAUUUCCAUCUAACUAAUAGCCCACCCGAAUGGUCAAAAUUGUUGAAACCGCUCUUUAUUCAUACAUUAUUCACACAAUGUUGAGAGUAGUUUAAGAGGAUAUAACCAGCUUCAAUCAUACAUAUCAGCUGAAUUAUCAAUGGUAUAGAAACACUGUAUUUUAGUUUACAGGUGACAUUCUGCUAGCCUUUCCGCCCCGAAUUGUCAACAUAUACAAUGAAGAAACUUGAUUUUAGUUUUUACCAUAGAACCUUCUUGGUUUUUAAAUGUACAUAUUUUUUUUUGCGUGUUCUUUUUAAAAAAUGUUUUUUAAGACAUCAAAUUAAGCUAAUUCGUGUCUCUGACUUCAUUCUGCAUGUUUCUGUUUAACCCCUUCUGGAUUUCUUUUUUAAAAAAUUGACUUCAUUUAACGUUUUCUUUCUCCAGCAUCAAUUACUUUUUGGAUUCUGAAAAAAAGACUUAAGUUCUUCUGUUUACGUAGUUUAGUUCGGACAAUGCAUUUUCCCACCAAAAUGGAAAAAAAAAUCAUUGUGCAUUGUUUCAUAUUUAUACAAUUUGCAUUUUUAUUUAAAUUGAGAAUAAAAGUUUUUGACUAUGAAACAUGAUUUUGUAUGUAAAUGGCUGUCUGUUUUGUACACUCCCGCCUCUCUUGAGAAAAAGAAACCACAUUCGAGUGGUAGCUACGUUACUUGAGCACACUGUUACCCCGCCCCCUGCCCCCCUUCUCUGCUGGAAAUCGGAUAAACUUCGAUGCCACCUUAAUUAUUUCUGGCAGACUCAGCUGGUUGGCAGCUUAGAAACCAAGGACUGAAGGACAUUUGACUUUCUAAUUUUUUUGUGUAUUUAAAUGACGUGAAUGUAAAAGAGGGAACGCUCAGGGUUGUUUCUGGAGCCUGUUGAAUUUUUUUUCUCUUUUUUUUCCUUUUUCUUUCUUUUUUUUUUUGCCUACGACUUUUAUUUUCGAAAUCAAAUACAUCAUGUAGCAAUCUUGGAAUAGGUUGAGAAGGAAAAUGCCAAACCAUUUGGUUCAAAAAAAAAAAGUAUACAGUAGGUGUUUUUAAACAGUACCUUGUUUCUCAUGUGUUGAAUGAUUCUUGAAGAAAUACGUGCCUCGGUUUUUAGAUGUUUUGUCUUAUCUUUUCUGCACUAAAGAUCCUGACCAUUUUGACCAAUCAAAAUGCACCUUUCCAGUGGCAAGAAGAACGUGCUUCUCGUAAAUUAUAGUGUCACAAUGCAAAACUUUUAAGUGACUGUAAAAUGGAAUAAAAGUUAAGUUUUCAGGGAAUGCAAAAGGUAUUAACUUAAGAGACAAAACCUUUUAUUCAAUAUGUGUUGCUUCAUUCUGUAAAUAACUUUUUUUUUGGCUAGUGAACCUUAUUGUAAUCUUUCAGGUAUUUUUGUACAAAUGAGGGACUGAUUGUUUCUUGUAACUAGAAAUAAACAUUAAUAAAUUGUAUUCAUUUUA